rnacentral:lncRNA from 1 species
GGCGGCAUUUUGAAGAACAAACCAAAACCAGUCACACAGAAACAUUUUGAAUAUUUAUGCGAUUUACAUGUAUUAUAAUUGUCGCCUUUAAUUUUUCCGUAUAUCUUGUUCAUUCGUUUUAUCCGGUACGCUUCCGUUAUGUGUCCGUUUUAUGCGGUAUUCGUCCGUUGGAUGUACGUUCGACAUCCGUUCUGUCCGGUAUGUUUCCGUUUCUCGUACGUUGCAUAUCCGGUGUGUGUCCGUUACGCAUUCGUUACACAUCCGUUUUAUUCGGUCAGUACAUCAACGGA